AUUGCUUCUGUGGACAGGUAUCUUUUAUACAGGUAACAAGCUGAGAUUAGGAGCAUUCCAUUUAAGAGAGUGCUCAGCUCGUUACCUGUGUAAAAGACACCUGGGAGCCAGACA